UACGUAGGGGGCAAGCGUUGUCCGGAAUCACUGGGCGUAAAGAGCGCGUAGGCGGUUUGGUAGGUCCGUUGUGAAAACUCGAGGCUCAACCUCGAGACGCCGAUGGAAACCAUCAGACUAGAGUCCGGAAGAGGAGAGUGGAAUUCCUGGUGUAGCGGUGAAAUGCGCAGAUAUCAGGAAGAACACCCGUGGCUAAGGCGGCUCUCUAGUACGGUACUGACGCUGAGACGCGAAAGCGUGGGGAGCGAACAGG
rnacentral:rRNA from 1 species